rnacentral:rRNA from 1 species
UUCCAGACUCCUACGGGAGGCAGCAGUGGGGAAUAUUGGGCAAUGGGCGAAAGCCUGACCCAGCAACGCCGCGUGAAGGAAGAAGGCUUUCGGGUUGUAAACUUCUUUUGACAGGGAAGAGCAGAAGACGGUACCUGUCGAAUAAGCCACGGCUAACUACGUGCCAGCAGCCGCGGUAAUACGUAGGUGGCAAGCGUUAUCCGGAUUUACUGGGUGUAAAGGGCGUGUAGGCGGGACUGCAAGUCAGAUGUGAAAACCAUGGGCUCAACCCAUGGCCUGCAUUUGAAACUGUAGUUCUUGAGUGUUGGAGAGGCAGGCGGAAUUCCGUGUGUAGCGGUGAAAUGCGUAGAUAUACGGAGGAACACCAGUGGCGAAGGCGGCCUGCUGGACAAUAACUGACGCUGAGGCGCGAAAGCGUGGGGAGCAAACAGGAUUAGAUACCCGCGUAA